GAUGAACGCUGGCGGCGUGCCUAAUACAUGCAAGUCGAACGAAAGGACGCGACGCUUGCUUCUCUGAUGUUAGCGGCGGACGGGUGUGUAACGCGUGGAUCACCUACCUAUAAGUCUGGUAUAACUUCGGAAAACCGGCGCUAAUACCGGAUAAUAUUUUGAACCGCGUGGUUCAAAAGUAAAAGACGGUCUUGCUGUCACUUCUAGAUGCAUCUGCGCUGCAUUAGCUAGUUGGUAAGGUAACGGCUUACUAAGGCAACGAGGCAUAGCCGACCGGAGAGGGUGAUAGGCCACACGAGAACGUAGACAGGCUCCAGACGCCUAAGGGAGGCAGCAGUAGGGUAUGGGCGGCAAUGGGGGAAAGUCUGACGGAGCAAGGCGGAGUGAGAGACGAAGAUGUUGGGAUCGGAAAACUCGGUUAUUGGUUAAGAACAGAUGUCGAAGUAAACGUGGAGAGAUUGACGGUAAUUAAUAAGGAAGCACCGGCUAACUACGUG
rnacentral:rRNA from 1 species